rnacentral:rRNA from 1 species
GACGAACGCUGGCGGCGUGCUUAACACAUGCAAGUCGAACGGAAAGGCCCUGCUUUUGUGGUGUUCUCGAGUGGCGAACGGGUGAGUAACACGUGUGUAACCUGCCCUUGUCUUUGGUAUAACUUCAGGAAACUGGGGCUAAUACCGUAUAGCAGCUCCUGCUGCAUUGUGGGGGUUGGAACGUUUCCGCGGGUGGGGAUGGACUCGCGGCUUAUCAUCUUGUUGGUGGGCUAGUGGCUUACCAAGGCUGUGACGGGUAGCCGGCCUGAGAGGGUGACCGGCGACAUUGGGACUGAGAUACGGCCCAGACGCCAACGGGAGGCAGCGGGGGGGAAUAUUGCACAAUGGGCGGAAGCCUGAGGCAGCAACGCCGCGUGCGGGAUGACGGCCUUCGGGGUGUAAACCGCUUUAGCCUGUGACGAAGCGGGAGUGACGGUAAUGGGUAAAGAAGCACCGGCUAACUACGUG